AAGAACAUCCCUCCGUGGCCUCUGCAUCAGUUCCUGCUUCCUGACCUGCUUGAGUUCUAGUCCUGCAUCCUUUGGUGAUCAACAGCAAUGUGGAAAGUCUUGUGAUGCACAGGUUUGAAGAGUCUGGAGAGAUGAGGUCACAGCUGGAAAUCACUUUUGAAGAUGGAACCCGGUCUGAGAAACCACCUGCUUCUUCCUUAGUGACUUUGUUCCUGCAGGCAGCCCCCUUCUCCCUCCUUUAAGGUCAACAUGACUGGACUUCAGACAACUGGUCAUCUAAACGGGUUCUAACUGGGCUCCUGCUGGUACUGACCAUCCUCCCCACUGACCAUUUGCUCCUAAGACAUCCUCAGAGUGCAGGAGCGCCAGCGAUCAUUCUGUGAUAAUGGGGUGAUGUCAUUGGCCAACUUUCUGGGCCAGAACUCAAUUAAAAUUCUCUGGCGUUUGGGGCCAUGACUCAGUUGGUACGGCAUUUGCACUGUGAGCAUAAGAAUAUGGAUUUGGAUGCCCAGAACCCGUACAAAAUGCCUGAUGAGGUGAUACAUACCUGUACUCC
ensembl:sense_intronic C87198 expressed sequence C87198